CGCAACCUCGCGCCAACUGUCAAAAUGUUUUGAAAAACAAAAUGCUCUUAUUUCGAUGCAUUUCAAGAGUUUUGUUGUGAUAAAAACAAUGGAAUAUAGACUAAAAUACUAUCCAACCAUUAGACUCAUGAUCUUGACAUGGAUCCAAGAUGCUGGUAACUAGGCGGGACAGAUUGUUUCACAGAACUGCAGAGACUCAGCGCCAUGUCACAAAUACUUCCGAACCUAGAAUGAAAGUUACCGAAAGAGCAAUAGACUUUCCAAUCUCUACAAAAUUCAUCUUAACUGUUCUUCAAGGUGAUACUUGAGACUACCAAAGACUUUUCAAGGACAGAAUUCACAAAACAGUUUAUGCCACCAUCUCAUAUCAAAGGAUUGUGCUUGAGUUGAACAGCCUUCAAACAGAAACUGUUUCAACACCUUCAAUGGAUUCAUUCUGAUUCAGUUUACUCUUGCUGUGAUCUGAGCAACUAUUUACAUCAGUUCAACAUUGUAAAUUGUUUAAACUUGAAAAUUCUGUCUUCUUGCAACUCACAUGAAUCUAUUUACUGUGGACUUUGAUGUUGACUCUAUACAGGAAGAAGAGACCAUCUUUAUACAUGCUGGCAUAUCAUUUAAAAAGGAAACAAAUUUUAUAACCAACAUACUGCACUGUUAUGUCAUCCAAGGACUCAGCUACUGACUCAAUUUAUAAAUACUUCAAAAUAAAAAAUGUCUCUAAUAAGACAUUUUUUAUUAUGCCCCCUUCGAAGAAGAGGGGUAUAUUGCUUUGCACAUGUCGGUCGGUCGGUCGGUACCGUCUACCGUCUGUAGACCAAAGCUUGUCCGAGUGAUAACUCAACAAUUCCUGGACGUAUGGUCAUCAAACUUGACAUGAAGGUUGGGCCUGACCAGUAGAUGAUUUUAGGGCUUAUCGGGUCAAAGGUCAAGGUCACAGUGACCUUGAAUGGUAAAUUAAUUUUAAAGCUUGUCCGAGUGAUAACUCAACAAUGCCUAGACCUAUGGUCAUCAAACUUGAUAUGGAAGUUGGGCCUCACCAGUAGAUGACCCCUAUUGUUUUUGGGGAUCAUCGAGCCAAAGAUCAAGGUCACAGUGACCUUGAAUGGUAAAAGGUUGUCCAAGUGAUAAAUCAACAAUGCCUGCACCCAUGGCCCUCAAACUUGACUCGGAGUUUGGGCCUUACCAGUAGAUGACCCCUAUUGAUUUUAGUGGUCAAAGGUCAAGGUCACAGUGAUCUUGAAAGCAAACUUGACAAUUCCUGGACCAAUGGUCAUCAAACUUGACAUAAAGGUUGGGCCUGACCAGUAGAUGACCCCUCUUAACUUUGAGGGUCAUCGAGCCAAGGUCAAGGUCACAAUAACCUUUAAUGCAAAAAAGAUAACAAAUCUUCUCCCAGUGAUAUCUCAACAAUGCCUGAACCUAUGAUCAUCAAACUUGACAUGGAAGUUGGGCCUGACAAGGAGAUGACGCUUAUUGAUUUUAGGAGUCAUUGGGUCAAAGGUCAAGUUCACAGUGACCUUGAAUGCGAAAAUGUUUCGAGUGAUAACUUGACAAUGCCUGUACCCAUGGCCCUCAAACCUGACUUGGAGUUGUGUCUGACCUGUAGAGGACCCCUUUCCAUUUUGGGGGUCAUCGGGUCAAACGUCAAGGUCACAGUGACAUUGAUUGAAAAAAGCUUGUCUGUGUGAUAACUUGUCAAUGCCUGAACCCAUGUCCCUCAAACUUGACAUUUAGAUUUUUGUAGACCAGCUGAUGACUCAUAUGGAUUUUGAGGUCACAGAGUCAAAGGUCAUGGUCAUAACACACUCUAUCCUCACACUUUGAAUGGUCAUAAUCUGAAAACUGCCUCAACGGCAUCCAAUGCCAGUGACUAAUCAGCUGUCAUUUUGGUCCAUGCUUAUUUCAUUCAAUUGUUCAUAUAAUCCUGACAACAUGACGCUCAGGUGGGGGCAUAAUGUUUGACAAACAUCUCUUGUUGAUACUUGGCUCAUUUCUUACAUGUAGCUGUAACAUUUUGGGCAACUUCUCAAUUAUUUUGUUUAAGACAUUUUUCAUUAAGCUCAUCUGAGCCUAAGUUAGUGUUCAAGUUUACUUUUAUGACUGCCUGUUUAUUGUACUUUUUAUAAAUUAUUUUCAAUGACUUUUUCUCAAAACCAUUUGGCUAAGUAUGUCUCCUCCUGAAAUAGACUAAUUCUUUUAGCUCGGAAGAUGUUGCUUUCACAUUGAGAACUGACUUACAAGUUGAUAAUGUAGAAGCUGUAUGGACUGAACUGUUUUUAGCUCACCUGUCACAUAGUGACAAGGUGAGCUUUUGUGAUCACAAUUUGUCCGGCGUCCGUCCGUCCGUCCGUCCGUAAACUUUUACUUUAAACGACAUCUCCUCAUAAACCGCUUAGCCAUUUUCAUCCAAACUUCACAGGAAUGUUCCUUGGGUGGUCCCCUUUGAAAAGAAUUGAAUUCCAUGCAGAACUCUAGUUGCCAUGGCAAUGGAAAGGAAAAACUUUAAAAAUCUUCUUCUCCCAAACCACAAGGCUUAGGCCGUUGAUACAUGGUAGGUAGGAUUACCAAAUGGUCCUCUACCAAGAUUGUUCAAAUUAUGGCCAUUGGGUCAAAAUUGGCCCUGCCCCGGGGGGUCAUGGGUUUUCACUAUAUGUUUAUAGUGAAAACUUAAAAAAUCUUCUCCUCUGAACUUACUUGGCCUAGAGCUUAGAUAUUUAUCAUGAUUUAUCGUCUAGUGGACCUCUACAAAGUUUGUUCAAAUUAUGGCCCUGGGGUCAAAAUUGGCCCCGCCCCAGGGGGUCAUGGGUAUGCUCUAUAUGUUUAUAGUUAACACUUCAAAAAUCUUCUCCUCUGAACUUACUUGGACUAGAGCUUAGAUAUUUGGCAUGAUUCAUCAUCUAGUGGACCUCCACAAAGAUUGUUCAUAUUAUGGCCUUGGGGUCAAAAUUGGCCCCACCCCUGGGGGUCAUGGGUAUACUUGAUAUGUUUAUAGUUAAAACUUCAAAAAUCUUUUCCUCUUAUCUUACUUGGACUAGAGCUUAGAUAUUUGGCAUGAUUCAUCGUCUAGAGGACCUCUACAAAGAUUGUUCAAAUUAUGGCCCUGGGGUCAAAAUUGGCCCCGCCCCAGGGGGUCAUGGGUAUGCUCUAUAUGUUUAUAGUGAAAACUUCAAAAAUCUUCUACUUGGAACUUUCUUGGACUAGAGCUUAGAUAUUUGGCAUGAUUCAUCAUCUAGUGGACCUCAACAAAGAUUGUUCAAAUUAUGGCCCUGGGGUCAAAAUUGACCCCGCCCCGGGGGGUCAUGGGUUUUCUCUAUAUGUUUAUAGUGAAAACUUCAAAAAUCUUCUACUUGGAACUUACUUGGACUAGAGCUUAGAUAUUUGGCAUGAUUCAUCAUCUAGUGGACCUCUACAAAGAUUGUUCAAAUUAUGGCCUUGGGGUCAAAAUUAGCCCCGCCCCUGGGUGGUCAUGGGUUUUCUCUAUAUGUUUAUAGUAAAAAAAAAUCAAAAAUCUCCUCUGAACUUACGUUGCUUAGAGCUUAGAUAUUUGGCAUGAUUCAUCGUCUAGUGGACCUCUACAAAGAUUAUUCAAAUUAUGGCCUUGGGGUCAAAAUUGGCCCCGCCCCGGGGGGUUAGGGUAUUCUCUCUAUGUUUAUAGUUAAAACUUCAAAAAUCUUCUCCUCUGAACUUACUUGGACUAGAGCUUAGAUAUUUGGCACGAUUCAUCGUCUAGUGGACCUCUACAAAGAUUGUUCAAAUUAUGGCCUUGGGGUCAAAAUUGGCCCCGCCCCCUUGGGGGGUCAUGGGUUUUCUCUAUAUGUUUAUAGUGAAAACUUCAAAAAUCAUCUCCUCUGAACUUAUGUGGCUUAGAGCUUAGAUAUUUGCAUACAUGCCAUAUCUCCCGGAGGGGGGAAAAAUCCCCCGGAAUUUCGGUCCAUCCCCUGGUCUCCCGGCGGGAGAUGCAAAUCCCCCGGAAUUUCCAAAAAAAAAAGAUUUUUUUUUUAAACCUCCGCUUACGAGCGUGUUGUCACUGGUUUUAUUACCCGAGAUUUGAUCCGCGUGUUUACGGUAAGGAAUUUGAUGCGCUGUAUUUUACAUCUGGAUUAUCGAUUGAUGGUAUGUAGACAGCCUUGCACAAACUGCCAAUCAGUAGGGUACAUGUUUUGAUUGUUACACAGUGUGCCAUAAUAGCGCCUUUGAUCUCUGCGUUAUACGAUCGAAAGGUCGCAAUAAAUUUGUAUAGGUGUCACAAAUUGUUUGUUUGUUUUAACCCUGUAAGGGUGUUGACAUUAAAUUACAAAUGAAGAUGUUAACACGCAACUAUUGGACAAUUUUCCGACGUGUGAAAAUGUUACGGUAUACUGUACUGUUUCUGAUAAUGAUGGAUUAUUCUAAAUUCAUAUCGGUACAGUCACCAUCAAACUGAAACGCUGAGCGUUGUUUCAGCAUAUUGAGAAAAAUUCAGACAGACUCAAGGUCAAGAUUGACUUCAGAAACAAUUCACAAUCUGCUGAGUGUAAAGUUUAAUGAACAUAACAUUUGCAGCUCAUUUGUUCCUUCCAAGGACAUGCUAUAUAAAUCAACCAAUUCAUGCAAUUAAUUGUGCAUGUGUUUGCUAUCCUGAUUGUCAUGUGGACCUAGUGCUGUGAAGUGCCUAAAAAUGAUUUUUUUUAGUAGUGCUUACUUAGUUCUGUGAAGUGCCUAAAAAUUCAUUUUUUUAGUAGUGCUUUUUGUAAAAAUUUACUUUUUUUCAUUAUUUAACAUUUUAUAUAAAUACAUUGAAGUGUUAUAUGCAUAAUAUAUUAUGAAUUGAUGUUAGUUCAGUUGCAAUAUUGAAUGAAUAUUUUUAUAUAAUUAUGUGAAUAAAAUACAAAAAAUUGAUAUUUCGUGAACUUAUACUUUCGAUAUAAAAUCCCCCGGAAUACUUUCCAAAUCCCCCUAAAUUUUAAGCCUUUUGCCCUAAUCUCAUGGAAUGGUCUCCAAAAAAUAUGGCAUGUAUGUAUUUGGCAUGAUUCAUCGUCUAGUGGACCUCUACAAAGUUUGUUCAAAUUAUGGCCCUGGGGUCAAAAUUGGCCACACCCCGGGGCUGAUUGGUUUUCUCUAUAUGUUUUAUAGUGAAAACCUAAAAAAAUCUUCUCCUAACUCACAAAGACAAGUAACGUCUAAAUUUAAACUGGAUAACAUAUUUAGUACACAUACUAAUUUUCCGUCCGUCCGUUAACUUUUACUUUAAACCUCAUCUCCUCAUAAACCGCUUAGCCAAUUUCAUCCAAACUUCACAGGAAUGUUCCUUGGGUGGUCCCCCAAUUGUUGAAAAUUGUUCAAAGAAUUGAAUUCCAUGCAGAACUCUGGUUGCCAUGGCAACGGAAAGGAAAAACUUUAAAAAUCUUCUUCUCAAAAACCACAAGGCCUAGAGCCUUAAUAUUUGGUAUAUAGCAUCAUCUAGUGGUCCUCUACCAAAAUUGUUAAAACUAUCCCCCUGGGGUCAAAAAUGGCCCCGCCCCGGGGGUCACUUGUUUUACAUAGACUUAUAU